CGGACGUCGACCGGCGCACGGGUGAGUAACGCGUAUCCAACCUUCCCGUUACUGCGGGAUAACCUGCCGAAAGGCAGACUAAUACCGCAUGUUCUUCGAUGACGGCAUCAGAUUAGAAGCAAAGAUCCGUGGUAACGGAGGGGGAUGCGUCUGAUUAGCUAGUUGGCGGGGCGACGGCCCACCAAGGCGACGAUCAGUAGGGGUUCUGAGAGGAAGGUCCCCCACAUUGGAACUGAGACACGGUCCAAACUCCUACGGGAGGCAGCAGUC
rnacentral:rRNA from 1 species